GAUGAACGCUAGCGGCAGGCCUAAUACAUGCAAGUCGAACGAUACCAAGGGGCUUGCUCCUUGGAAAAGUGGCGCACGGGUGCGUAACGCGUAUGCAACCUACCUUUAUCAGGGGGAUAGCCCGGAGAAAUCCGGAUUAAUACCGCAUAAAAUCACAGGAUGGCAUUAUCCAAUGAUCAAACAUUUAUGGGAUAAAGAUGGGCAUGCGUGUCAUUAGCUAGUUGGCGGGGUAACGGCCCACCAAGGCGACGAUGACUAGGGGAUCUGAGAGGAUGGCCCCCCACACUGGUACUGAGACAUGGACCAGACUCCUACGGGAGGCAGCAGUAAGGAAUAUUGGUCAAUGGGCGGAAGCCUGAACCAGCCAUGCCGCGUGCAGGAAGACUGCCCUAUGGGUUGUAAACUGCUUUUAUCCGGAAAUAAACCUACCUACGUGUAAGUAGCUGAAUGUACCGGAAGAAUAAGGAUCGGCUAACUCCGUGCCAGCCGCCGCGGUAA
rnacentral:rRNA from 1 species